rnacentral:rRNA from 1 species
CCCCCAGUAAGGGCGACUGAACGGGGAGGAGCCCAGCGCGGAACCUCGCGCGCCUGACCGGCUGCGUCUGAGGAAUGUCGCGUUCCGGAGGGGCCUUCUCCGACCACACCGACCCCCCCCAAGUCCGCUUGAACGCGGCCACUGCCCAUGGAGGGUGCGAGGCCCGUACGGGGAUUAGGAGUCGGGCGGUCGGACGGCCCCGUCCGUAGAGUCGGGUUGCCUACUAACGCAGCCCAAAGCAGGUGGUAAACUCCAUCUAAGGCUA